ACUCCUACGGGAGGCAGCAGUGGGGAUUAUUGCACAAUGGGCGAAAGCCUGAUGCAGCGACGCCGCGUGAGGGAUGACGGCCUUCGGGUUGUAAACCUCUUUCAGCAGGGACGGAGCAAGAGUGACGGUACCUGCAGAAGAAGCGCCGGCCAACUACGUGCCAGCAGCCGCGGUAAU
rnacentral:rRNA from 1 species